CCCAGAGAGCUAGGAUUACAGGCGUGAGCCACCGCGCCCAGCCCCAGUCUUUAUUCUAUGCACAUAUGCCUGAACUAUUGCAAAGUUAGGAUUGUUCUAUAAUUCUAAUAUUAGUAUUACUUUUUAAUUUAAUAAUAUGUUAUACCAUUUUCUAAUGCUAUUAAAUAUUCUUUUGUAACAGCUUUAUCGAGGUAUAACUGGUACACAAAACAACUGCACAUGUUUAACAUACACUAGUGGCUGAGUCGGACAUACACGUACGCCCAUGAUCCACCACCACAAUCAAGGCAAUUGUGUCUAACGCUGCAGUGAACACGGACGUGCAAAUAUCUCUUUGAGAUUCUGCUUUGGAUUCCUUUAAAUCUAUACCCUGAAGUGGGAUUGCUGGAUCAUACGUGGCUGUCCUACAGGGCGUGGCGUGAUAUCUCAUCAUGGUUUGAUCUGCAUGUGUCUAAUGGUCAGUGGUGUUGAGCAUCUUUUCAAAUGCUUGUUGGCCAUGUCCGAGCCUUUUAACACACAUUGCCAAACCUUCCUCCAGAAAUAAUGGGACCGUUGAAAUUUCACCAAGAACGUGAGGGCAAUUCUCCUCGCUUCCUUCCAGUCGACAUGGUAUGUCCACCGAGUGUUUAACUGUCCCCACGUGAUGCAGAAGACACAUUAAGCCAGCCGUUCACGUUUGCCUUGUCAUGGUAGCGGCCUAACACGAUCUUUGAAGAUGAAAUGGCUUUGAGCUGGACGCUGCCGACCUCAGUUUUCUUCUAUGACCAGCAGCACCGGAAUCCUAGUCUUUGUUUUGGAGAGAUUUCGGUAUCCCUCUCCGGUUUUUAAACAGCUGUCUUGCCCCUGAGUUUUAACAUUGAGAUUUAAACGGACGCUGAAUGUGGGGCGUUUUGAGCAUUCACAUCAAAGGCUGCUCCAGAAAGAAGCCCUCUCGUCGGAGUGACAGGCUUAAGAAACCCUUGCCUUGUUAUUCAGGGUCCUCCACUAUGGGGCCACUGUCUUACUCCGUGUUCCUGCCAAUUCUUCCGUAAUACAGUAAAAAUCAAAGCCUUGAGUAAUAGGAGGUUAUUUUCA